AGAGUUUGAUCAUGGCUCAGAUUGAACGCUGGCGGCAGGCCUAACACAUGCAAGUCGAGCGCGAAAACACUUCGGUGUGAGUAGAGCGGCGGACGGGUGAGUAAUGCUUGGGAAUCUGCCCAGUAGUGGGGGAUAACGUGUGGAAACGCACGCUAAUACCGCAUACGUCCUACGGGAGAAAGCAGGGGAUCUUCGGACCUUGCGCUAUUGGAUGAGCCCAAGUCAGAUUAGCUAGUUGGUGAGGUAAUGGCUCACCAAGGCGACGAUCUGUAGCUGGUCUGAGAGGAUGAUCAGCCACACUGGGACUGAGACACGGCCCAGACUCCUACGGGAGGCAGCAGUGGGGAAUAUUGCACAAUGGGCGAAAGCCUGAUGCAGCCAUGCCGCGUGUGUGAAGAAGGCUCUAGGGUUGUAAAGCACUUUCAGUGGGGAGGAAAAGUUUAAGAUUAAUACUCUGAACCU
rnacentral:rRNA from 1 species